GUAAUAGGCAAACACACUUUUCUUCAUGCUGGUUUUGUCAUAAACAAUAUUAAAGUUCAGACUGAUAACAAGGACAUUAAGGGUAAAGCUUGCGCGAGAGCUUAACGGCUGUAUUUUCAGACUUUGACAUUUGAUGAUAUAUGCACAAUAUAUUUAGUUAUUUACACUGU